rnacentral:rRNA from 1 species
UACGUAGGGGCCUAGCGUUGUCCGGAUUUAUUGGGCGUAAAGAGCUCGUAGGCGGUUCGGCAAGUCGGAUGUGAAAUCUCCACGCUCAACGUGGAGGCGCCAUUCGAAACUGCCGUGACUCGAGUCCGGUAGGGGAGUGUGGAAUUCCCGGUGUAGCGGUGAAAUGCGCAGAUAUCAGGAGGAACACCAAUAGCGAAGGCAGCUCGCUGGGACGUUACUGACACUGAGGCGCGAAAGCGUGGGGAGCGAACAGG